AACGAACGCUGGCGGCAUGCCUAACACAUGCAAGUCGAACGAGACCUUCGGGUCUAGUGGCGCACGGGUGCGUAACGCGUGGGAACCUGCCCUUAGGUUCGGAAUAACUCCCCGAAAGGGGUGCUAAUACCGGAUAAUGUCUUCGGACCAAAGAUUUAUCGCCUUUGGAUGGGCCCGCGUUGGAUUAGCUAGUUGGUAGGGUAAAAGCCUACCAAGGCGACGAUCCAUAGCUGGUCUGAGAGGAUGAUCAGCCACACUGGGACUGAGACACGGCCCAGACCCCAACGGAGGGAGGGGGUGGGGAAAUUUGGAAAAGGGGCGAAAGCCUGUCCCACCAUGGCCCGGGGGUGGAGGAGGGCUUUGGGGUUGAAAGGCCUUUUUCCCGGGGAGAAAAAUACAGGUACGGGGAAAAAAAGCCCGGGUAAACCCCUG
rnacentral:rRNA from 1 species